rnacentral:rRNA from 1 species
GAUUGAACGCUGGCGGCAGGCCUAACACAUGCAAGUCGAACGGCAGCACAGAAGAGCUUGCUCUUUGGGUGGCGAGUGGCGGACGGGUGAGUAAUGUCUGGGAAACUGCCCGAUGGAGGGGGAUAACUACUGGAAACGGUAGCUAAUACCGCAUAACGUCGCGAGACCAAAGUGGGGGACCUUCGGGCCUCACACCAUCGGAUGUGCCCAGGUGGGAUUAGCUAGUAGGUGGGGUAAUGGCUCACCUAGGCGACGAUCCCUAGCUGGUCUGAGAGGAUGACCAGCCACACUGGAACUGAGACACGGUCCAGACUCCUACGGGAGGCAGCAGUGGGGAAUAUUGCACAAUGGGCGCAAGCCUGAUGCAGCCAUGCCGCGUGUAUGAAGAAGGCCUUCGGGUUGUAAAGUACUUUCAGCGGGGAGGAAGGCGAUGGAGUUAAUAGCUUCAUCGAUUGACGUUACCCGCAGAAGAAGCACCGGCUAACUCCGUGCCAGCAGCCGCGGUAAUACGGAGGGUGCAAGCGUUAAUCGGAAUUACUGGGCGUAAAGCGCACGCAGGCGGUCUGUCAAGUCGGAUGUGAAAUCCCCGGGCUUAACCUGGGAACUGCAUUCGAAACUGGCAGGCUAGAGUCUUGUAGAGGGGGGUAGAAUUCCAGGUGUAGCGGUGAAAUGCGUAGAGAUCUGGAGGAAUACCGGUGGCGAAGGCGGCCCCCUGGACAAAGACUGACGCUCAGGUGCGAAAGCGUGGGGGAGCAAACAGGAUUAGAUACCCUGGUAGUCCACGCCGUAAACGAUGUCGACUUGGAGGUUGUGCCCUUGAGGCGUGGCUUCCGGAGCUAACGCGUUAAGUCGACCGCCUGGGGAGUACGGCCGCAAGGUUAAAACUCAAAUGAAUUGACGGGGGCCCGCACAAGCGGUGGAGCAUGUGGUUUAAUUCGAUGCAACGCGAAGAACCUUACCUACUCUUGACAUCCAGCGAAUUCGGUAGAGAUACCUUAGUGCCUUCGGGAACGCUGAGACAGGUGCUGCAUGGCUGUCGUCAGCUCGUGUUGUGAAAUGUUGGGUUAAGUCCCGCAACGAGCGCAACCCUUAUCCUUUGUUGCCAGCGGUCCGGCCGGGAACUCAAAGGAGACUGCCAGUGAUAAACUGGAGGAAGGUGGGGAUGACGUCAAGUCAUCAUGGCCCUUACGAGUAGGGCUACACACGUGCUACAAUGGCGCAUACAAAGAGAAGCGACCUCGCGAGAGCAAGCGGACCUCAUAAAGUGCGUCGUAGUCCGGAUUGGAGUCUGCAACUCGACUCCAUGAAGUCGGAAUCGCUAGUAAUCGUAGAUCAGAAUGCUACGGUGAAUACGUUCCCGGGCCUUGUACUCACCG